GAUGAACGCUGGCGGCGUGCCUAAUACAUGCAAGUCGAGCGAACAGACGAGGAGCUUGCUCCUCUGACGUUAGCGGCGGACGGGUGAGUAACACGUGGAUAACCUACCUAUAAGACUGGGAUAACUUCGGGAAACCGGAGCUAAUACCGGAUAAUAUAUUGAACCGCAUGGUUCAAUAGUGAAAGACGGUUUUGCUGUCACUUAUAGAUGGAUCCGCGCCGCAUUAGCUAGUUGGUAAGGUAACGGCUUACCAAGGCAACGAUGCGUAGCCGACCUGAGAGGGUGAUCGGCCACACUGUAACUGAGACACGGUCCAGACUCCUACGGGGGGCAGCAGUAGGGAAUCUUCCGCAAUGGACGAGAGCUUGACGUAGCAACGCCGCGUGAGUGAUGAAGGUCUUCGGAUCGUAAAACGCUGUUAUUAGUGAAGAACAAAUGUGUAAGUAACUAUGCACGUCUUGACGGUACCUAAUCAGAAAGCCACGGCUAACUACGUG
rnacentral:rRNA from 1 species